rnacentral:rRNA from 1 species
UACUAGUUGUUGGGUCUUAAUUGACUUAGUAACGCAGCUAACGCGUGAAGUAGACCGCCUGGGGAGUACGGUCGCAAGAUUAAAACUCAAAGGAAUUGACGGGGACCCGCACAAGCGGUGGAUGAUGUGGAUUAAUUCGAUGCAACGCGAAAAACCUUACCUACCCUUGACAUGUACGGAAUCCCUGAGAGAUUAGGGAGUGCUCGAAAGAGAACCGUAACACAGGUGCUGCAUGGCUGUCGUCAGCUCGUGUCGUGAGAUGUUGGGUUAAGUCCCGCAACGAGCGCAACCCUUGUCAUUAGUUGCUACGAAAGGGCACUCUAAUGAGACUGCCGGUGACAAACCGGAGGAAGGUGGGGAUGACGUCAAGUCCUCAUGGCCCUUAUGGGUAGGGCUUCACACGUCAUACAAUGGUACACACAGAGGGCCGCCAACCCGCGAGGGGGAGCUAAUCCCAGAAAGUGUAUCGUAGUCCGGAUUGUAGUCUGCAACUCGACUACAUGAAGUUGGAAUCGCUAGUAAUCGCGGAUCAGCAUGUCGCGGUGAAUACGUUCCCGGGUCUUGUACACACCGCCCGUCACACCAUGGGAGCGGGUUUCACCAGAAGUAGGUAGC